AAACUAACAAGGAUUCCCCUAGUAACGGCGAGCGAAGCGGGAAGAGCUCAAAUUUGAAAGCUGGCACCUUCGGUGUCCGCGUUGUAAUCUCGAGACGUGUUUUCCGUGUGGCGCUAUGGACAAGUCCCUUGGAACAGGGCAUCGUAGAGGGUGAAAAUCCCGUACUUGCCAUGGAUGUACCAUGCUUUGUGAUACACGCUCUAAGAGUCGAGUUGUUUGGGAUUGCAGCUCAAAAUGGGUGGUAGACUCCAUCUAAAGCUAAAUAUCGGGGAGAGACCGAUAGCGAACAAGUACCGUGAGGGAAAGAUGAAAAGCACUUUGGAAAGAGAGUUAAAAGUACGUGAAAUUGUCGAAAGGGAAGCGCUUGAAGUCAGCCAUGCUGCUUGAGACUCAGCCUUGCUUUUGCUUGGUGUAUUUCUCGGUAGCAAGCCAGCAUUGGUUUGAGUCGUCGGAGAAGGGUANGAGAAAUGUGGCAUCCUCGGAUGUGUUAUAGGCUUGUACUGGAUACGACGAUUUGGAUCAAGGAACGCAGUGUGCCUCUGGCGGGUCUUCGGACACCUUCACACUUAGGAUGCUGGCGUAAUGGCUUUAAGCGGC
rnacentral:rRNA from 1 species